rnacentral:rRNA from 1 species
AUUGAACGCUGGCGGAAUGCUUUACACAUGCAAGUCGAACGGCAGCACGGACUUCGGUCUGGUGGCGAGUGGCGAACGGGUGAGUAAUGUAUCGGAACGUGCCCAGUCGUGGGGGAUAACGUAGUGAAAAUUACGCUAAUACCGCAUACGAUCUAUGGAUGAAAGCGGGGGAUCGCAAGACCCCGCGCGAUUGGAGCGGCCGAUAUCAGAUUAGGUAGUCGGUGGGGUAAAGGCCCACCAAGCCAACGAUCUGUAGCUGGUCUGAGAGGACGACCAGCCACACUGGAACUGAGACACGGUCCAGACUCCUACGGGAGGCAGCAGUGGGGAAUUUUGGACAAUGGGCGAAAGCCUGAUCCAGCCAUUCCGCGUGCAGGAUGAAGGCCCUCGGGUUGUAAACUGCUUUUGUACAGAACGAAAAGGUUUCUACUAAUACUAGGAGCUCAUGACGGUACUGUAAGAAUAAGCGCCGGCUAACUACGUGCCAGCCGCCGCCGUAA